rnacentral:rRNA from 1 species
AGAGUUUGAUCCUGGCUCAGAAUCAACGCUGGCGGCGUGCCUCAGACAUGCAAGUCGAACGCGAAAUUUCCCUUCGGGGAGAAAGUAGAGUGGCGCACGGGUGAGUAACACGUAGGUAAUCUACCUCUGGGUGAGGAAUAACAGCCGGAAACGGCUGCUAAUACCGCAUAAUGCAGCGGCACCGAAUGGUGACAGUUGUUAAAGCGGGGGAUCGAAAGACCUCGCGCCUGGAGAGGAGCCUGCGGCAGAUUAGCUAGUUGGUGAGGUAAUGGCCCACCAAGGCAACGAUCUGUAGCCGGCCUGAGAGGGCGGUCGGCCACACUGACACUGACAUACGGGUCAGACUCCUACGGGAGGCAGCAGUCGGGAAUUUUGGGCAAUGGGCGAAAGCCUGACCCAGCAACGCCGCGUGAAGGAUGAAAUCCCUCGGGAUGUAAACUUCGCAAGAAUGGGAAGAAUAAGGAGGGGUUAAUAACCCUUUUGAUGACGGUACCAUUUGUAAGCUCCGGCUAACUCCGUGCCAGCAGCCGCGGUAAUACGGGGGGAGCAAGCGUUGUUCGGAUUUACUGGGCGUAAAGGGCGCGUAGGCGGCCGAACAAGUCACUUGUGAAAUCUCCGGGCUUAACUCGGAAAGGUCAAGUGAUACUGUUUGGCUAGAGUGCGGAAGGGGCAACUGGAAUUCUCGGUGUAGCGGUGAAAUGCGUAGAUAUCGAGAGGAACACCUGCGGCGAAGGCGGGUUGCUGGGCCGACACUGACGCUGAAGCGCGAAAGCUAGGGGAGCGAACGGGAUUAGAUACCCCCGUAGUCC